AAAUUGAAGAGUUUGAUCAUGGCUCAGAUUGAACGCUGGCGGCAGGCCUAACACAUGCAAGUCGAACGGUAACAGGAAGCAGCUUGCUGCUUUGCUGACGAGUGGCGGACGGGUGAGUAAUGUCUGGGAAACUGCCUGAUGGAGGGGGAUAACUACUGGAAACGGUGGCUAAUACCGCAUAACGUCGCAAGACCAAAGAGGGGGACCUUCGGGCCUCUUGCCAUCAGAUGUGCCCAGAUGGGAUUAGCUAGUUGGUGAGGUAACGGCUCACCAAGGCGACGAUCCCU
rnacentral:rRNA from 1 species